UCGCAGUAAAUCACGACGACAUUAUUAAUACAAUGUUCACCAAUGAUAGACUUCAAGAGAAUUGGCAAAUUCUGAUAAGGUCUUCGUUUCGAGAUUACGUCUUCAUUAUCCCCUUGCCCAUUUCUGCUAGAUAAAAUUCAAUAGUCAAAAUAAAAAAAAAAAUAUAUAUAUAUAUACAUAUAAAACACCCGAUCAAACAAAAUAAAUGCAAAAGCAAAUUUAUAUCCAUUCUGUGCAUAAAUAAAAUAAAUUGCAAGGAAUUCCUACAAAAAAAUAAAACAUAGAGUCAUACCUUUAUAUUUAUAUAAAUGGUGAUAUUGAAAUUUUCAGGAAUAUAUAUUUUUCCAAAUUGUACAAAAAUAAUUCCUAUAAAAAGAUUGAAAAAAGAAAAUAUAAAAAAGAAAGGAUAAUACUUCGUAUUUAUAUAUUUAAUGUUAUACAUGUGAUUAAAAAUUUUGUGAUUAUAAAUUUUGAGAUAUACAUUGUCCAAAUUAUAAAAAGAUAGUACAUAUAAAAAAUGUUUAAAAAAAGAAGUAGGAAAGAAGGAACAUCUCAACCAUAUUUUUACAUUUAAGUUAAACGCUAUAAAUGAGACUCAAACUUUUCAGUUAUACGAUAUUCAAGGUUUCUCAAAUUCUGAAGAAGACAACUAGCCUCUAUUGCUUAUUCUGCUUGCCAAAAUAAUUAUGAAUGCCGCAUUAAUCGCUACCAGAUGAAGCUUGAUACAAUGUACACAGCUCACGUUGCGAUAAUAAAUUAAACGGUGCGAAUUAAAUCGAACCGUCACUGAUAAAUUGCUUGAUGGCGGAUUGUUAAAACCUAAUAAAUGUAACCAGGAGGACUAACGAAUUGCUUCGAGUCAUGUGAAAACUCGGAGCCAGAGGUUCCCAAAGUGAAACACCAGAAGGAACAGCCGGCCAUUGUAAACUUCCAGCUACUAUACGUUUUCAAACUGAUAACGAAGAACGGCACGCUAUUAGAUGUCGAUAGUAAAUUUAUUAUGGGAAGUUUGGUGAUUACUUGAAGAAUUUUUCUUCCUUAAAGUCAUCGCUAAGAUUGAUCAGAUUUCAGAAAGACGAAGUUAUAUAGGUAAAAAUUAUAUUUAUAACGAUGUAAAGAUGAUUGUUUUUUUUUUAUCGUAAACUAUAAUAUUUAGACAUAUCGAUUAUAUCUUUGAAAUAUAUGUACUGUCAUUUUACUAGUUUGAAACAAUUUUUUAAUAAAGAAUUUCUCAGAUUACAAAUAAGAA